rnacentral:rRNA from 1 species
UCGGGAAUUUUGGGCAAUGGGCGAAAGCCUGACCCAGCAACGCCGCGUGAGGGAUGAAGUAUUUCGGUAUGUAAACCUCGAAAGAAUGGGAAGAAUAAAUGACGGUACCAUUUAUAAGCUCCGGCUAACUACGUGCCAGCAGCCGCGGUAAUACGUAGGGAGCAAGCGUUGUUCGGAUUUACUGGGCGUAAAGGGCGCGUAGGCGGCGCGGUAAGUCACUUGUGAAAUCUCUGAGCUUAACCCAGAACGGCCAAGUGAUACUGCUGUGCUAGAGUGCGGAAGAGGCAACCGGAAUUCUUGGUGUAGCGGUGAAAUGCGUAGGUAUCAAGAGGAACACCUGAGGCGAAGGCGGGUUGCUGGGCCGACACUGACGCUGAUGCGCGAAAGCCAGGGGAGCAAACG